rnacentral:rRNA from 1 species
UGGGGGAUAUUGGACAAUGGGGGGAACCCUGAUCCAGCGACGCCGCGUGAGUGAAGAAGUAUUUCGGUAUGUAAAGCUCUGUCAGCAGGGAAGAAAGAAAUGACGGUACCUGACCAAGAAGCCCCGGCUAACUACGUGCCAGCAGCCGCGGUAAUACGUAGGGGGCAAGCGUUAUCCGGAAUUACUGGGUGUAAAGGGAGCGCAGACGGUGAAGUAAGUCUGGAGUGAAAGGCGGGGGCCCAACCCCCGGACUGCUCUGGAAACUAUUUGACUGGAGUGCAGGAGAGGCAGGCGGAAUUCCUGGUGUAGCGGUGAAAUGCGUAGAUAUCAGGAGGAACACCGGUGGCGAAGGCGGCCUGCUGGACUGUAACUGACGUUGAGGCUCGAAAGCGUGGGGAGCAAACAGG